GUAGGGGGCAAGCGUUAUCCGGAUUUACUGGGUGUAAAGGGAGCGUAGACGGAGCAGCAAGUCUGAUGUGAAAGACCGGGGCUUAACCCCGGGCCUGCAUUGGAAACUGUUGAUCUUGAGUGCCGGAGGGGUAAGCGGAAUUCCUGGUGUAGCGGUGAAAUGCGUAGAUAUCAGGAGGAACACCGGUGGCGAAGGCGGCUUACUGGACGGCAACUGACGUUGAGGCUCGAAAGCGUGGGGAGCAAACAGGAUUAGAUACCCUGGUAGUCCACGCCGUAAACGAUGACUACUAGGUGUCGGGGCACAAAGUGCUUCGGUGCCGCAGCCAACGCAAUAAGUAGUCCACCUGGGGAGUACGUUCGCAAGAAUG
rnacentral:rRNA from 1 species